rnacentral:lncRNA from 1 species
AGGCUAGGCAGUCUCUUAUUGUUAGAGGGAUUUUCAUCUGUUCCUCCCUAAAUAAGUGAUUUCUUUCUAGAGCUACUGUAGUUUUGUAUUCUGAUUAAAAGAUUAUGUUAACCAACAUGGAAUUGUGAAGUGUGUGAUUAACAAUGUCACUUGACCUCAUCUUGUAUUAGUUCUUCUGUAUUAUUUUAUGAGCAAAAUAUUAAAGGUAAG